rnacentral:lncRNA from 1 species
AUGAAGGGCAGCGGCUUAAAGAGGCGGAAAGACCCCGAGAUCCCUAACCCUAUGACCCCCACACCCCUGUGUCCCCUCAGUCCCCCACACCCCUGUGUCCCCUCAGUCCCCUCAGUCCCCCACACCUCUGUGUCCCCUCAGUCCCCUCAGUCCCCCACACCUCUGUGUCCCCUCAGUCCCCUCAGUCCCCCACACCCCUGUGUCCCCUCAGUCCCCCACACCUCUGUGCCCCCUCAGUCCCCCACACCUCUGUGUCCCCUGUGUCCCCUCUGUCCCCCACACCCCUGUGUCCCCUCAGUCCCCCACACCUCUGUGUCCCCUCAGUCCCCCACACCUCUGUGUCCCCUCAGUCCCCCACACCUCUGUGUCCCCUCAGUCCCCCACACCUCUGUGUCCCCUCAGUCCCCUCAGUCCCCCACACCUCUGUGUCCCCUCAGUCCCCUCAGUCCCCCACACCUCUGUGUCCCCUCAGUCCCCUCAGUCCCCCACACCUCUGUGCCCCCUCAGUCCCCCACACCUCUGUGUCCCCUGUGUCCCCUCUGUCCCCCACACCCCUGUGUCCCCUCAGUCCCCCAAACCUCUGUGUCCCCUCAGUCCCCCACACCUCUGUGUCCCCUCAGUCCCCCACACCUCUGUGUCCCCUCAGUCCCCCACACCUCUGUGUCCCCUCAGUCCCCUCAGUCCCCCACACCUCUGUGUCCCCUCAGUCCCCCACACAUCUGUGUCCUCUCGUCCCUGCUGUCUCCUCUCUUCUCCUCCCCUCUCCUGUCUCCUGCUGCUGCUCUACUCUUCUCCUCCCCUUGUCUCCUCUUCUCCUCUUCUCUUCUCCUCUCCUCUUCUCCUCCUCUUCUCCCUUCCUCUCAUCUCCUGUCCUCUUCUCCUCCUCUCCUCUCCUGUCUCCUGCUGCUGCUCUACUCUUCUCCUCCCCUCUCCUCUUCUCCCUUCCUCUCAUCUCCUCUCCUCUUCUCCUCCUCUCCUCUUCUCCCUUCCCCUCCUCUCCUCUCCUCCUAUCCCCUUCUCCUCCCUGUCUGCUGCUGCUGA